rnacentral:rRNA from 1 species
AGCAGUAGCCGCGGGAAUACGUAGGGUGCAAGCGUUAAUCGGAAUUACUGGGCGUAAAGCGUGCGCAGGCGGUUAUAUAAGUCAGAUGUGAAAUCCCCGGGCUCAACCUGGGAACUGCAUUUGAGACUGUAUGGCUAGAGUGUGUCAGAGGGGGGUAGAAUUCCACGUGUAGCAGUGAAAUGCGUAGAUAUGUAGAGGAAUACCGAUGGCGAAGGCAGCCCCCUGGGAUAACACUGACGCUCAUGCACGAAAGCGUGGGGAGCAAACAGGAUUAGAUACCCGAGUAGUCCCUGUCUCUUAUAA